rnacentral:snoRNA from 1 species
CCGGCUGAUGAGACUAAGGCGAAUGCGACUCCGUGCUGUCUGACCCUUGGCUCCUUGUUGGGGGCGGGGGGUGGAUAUAGACAAGAUCUGAAGUCUUAGUGGGGGUACCCAAGGCUGGCUCCCCACUGUAAGGCCAGAUCAAUAGCACUACUGGCCUUGCCUCCGUUUCUGCUGCUGCCCCCAGUUCCUGGCAGCAGCCUGCAGGGAGGCCCACAGAUGGGGCCCAAAGUAGGGCUGGACACGAGCUAUCUGAGCGCAACCUUGGAUCUGACA